CCUACGGGCGGCAGCAGUAGGGAAUCUUCCACAAUGGGCGAAAGCCUGAUGGAGCAACGCCGCGUGGGUGAAGAAGGUCUUCGGAUUGUAAAACCCUGUUGGUAGAGAAGAAAGUGUGUGAGAGUAACUGUUCACGUUUUUACGGUAUCUAACCAGAAAGCCACGGCUAACUACGUGCCAGCAGCCGCGGCAAUACGUAGGUGGCAAGCGUUAUCCGGUUGUAUUGGGCGUAAAGGGAACGAAGGCGGUCUUGUAAGUCUGGUGUGAAAGCCUUCGGCUUAACCGGAGUAGUGCAUUGGAAACUGGGAGACUUGAGUGCGGGAGAGGAGAGUGGAACUCGAGGUGUAGCGGUGAAAUGCGUAGAUAUAUGGAAGAACACCAGUGGCGAAGGCGGCUCUCUGGUCUGUAACUGACGCUGAGGUUCGAAAGCGUGGGUAGCAAACAGGAUUAGAUACCCCUGUAGUC
rnacentral:rRNA from 1 species